rnacentral:rRNA from 1 species
GUGGGGAAUCUUCCGCAAUGGACGAAAGUCUGACGGAGCAACGCCGCGUGAGUGAUGAAGGUCUUCGGAUUGUAAAGCUCUGUUAAUCGGGACGAAAGAGCCUAGUGUGAAUAAUGCUAGGAAGUGGCGGUACCGGAAUAGAAAGCCACGGCUAACUACGUGCCAGCAGCCGCGGUAAUACGUAGGUGGCAAGCGUUGUCCGGAAUUAUUGGGCGUAAAGCGCGCGCAGGCGGAUCUGCCAGUCUGUCUUAAAAGUUCGGGGCUUAACCCCGUGAUGGGAUGGAAACUACAGAUCUAGAGUAUCGGAGAGGAAAGUGGAAUUCCUAGUGUAGCGGUGAAAUGCGUAGAUAUUAGGAAGAACACCAGUGGCGAAGGCGACUUUCUGGACGAAAACUGACGCUGAGGCGCGAAAGCCAGGGGAGCGAACGGGAUUAGAAACCCGUGUAGUCC